UCCAAGGAAGGCAGCAGGCACGCAAAUUACCCACUCCCGGCACGGGGAGGUAGUGACAAAAAAUAACGAUACGGGACUCAUCCGAGGCCCCGUAAUCGGAAUGAGAACACCCUAAAUCCUUUAACGAGGAUCUAUUGGAGGGCAAGUCCGGUGCCAGCAGCCGCGGUAAUUCCGGCUCCAAUAGCGUAUAUUAAAGUUGNNNNNNNNNCUAGUUGGUUCUGCGUGCCACGCUGUCGGUUCACCGCCUGCCGGUGCAACUGGCAUGCCGUGGCAUGUCCUGUCGGUGGCGGAUAGGCUUCGCGGCGUGCCCUAUGCGUACCAACGUGUAGGUCGUUGCGCCGUGUCGUCCUUGUACGCCGGCUCAAUCCUACCGCGGUGCUCUUCAUCGAGUGUCGAGGUAGGCCGACACUGUUUACUUUGAACAAAUUAGAGUGCUUAAAGCAGGCUCUUAAAUCAGCCUGAAUAGUGGUGCAUGGAAUAAUGGAACAGGACCUUGGUUCUAUUUUGUUGGUUUUCGGAAUCCAAGGUAAUGAUCAAUAAGGACAGGCGGGGGCAUUCGUAUUGCGACGUCUUGGCAAAUGCUUUCGCNNNNNNNNNNNNNNNNNNUCGCAAGACGCACUAGAGCGAAAGCAUUUGCCAAGUAUGUCUUAAUUGAUCAAGAACGAAAGUUAGAGGUUCGAAGGCGAUCAGAUACCGCCCUAGUUCUAACCAUAAACGAUGCCAGCCAGCGAUCCGCCGACGUUCCUCCGAUGACUCGGCGGGGAGCUUUCCCCGGGAAACCAAAGCUUUUGGGUUCCGGGGGAAGUAUGGUUGCAAAGCUGAAACUUAAAGGAAUUGACGGAAGGGCACCACCAGGAGUGGAGCCUGCGGCUUAAUUUGACUCAACACGGGAAACCUCACCAGGCCCGGACAUUGGAAGGAUUGACAGAUCGAUAGCUCUUUCUCGAUUCAGUGGGUAGUGGUGCAUGGCCGUUCUUAGUUGGUGGACUGAUUUGUCUGGUUAAUUCCGAUAACGA
rnacentral:rRNA from 1 species